UUGAAUAAACCUGAUGUGACUGUUAGCUGGCUUUUCGAAGCAUGUGCUCGUCCAUCAUCUUUAAUCUCUCCACCUGUGCACAUUUUGUAGUCUUGGAUACCUCUCGAGGCAACUCGGAUUUUAGGAUCGCCGUCGGCUUUUCUUUCAUUUUCAAGACUAUGUUCUUAUAUACACCAUAGUAUGUUUAAAGAAUGUCAUCAAUAGGAACUUGUUUCCUAUAAAAUUAUA
rnacentral:misc_RNA from 1 species